GUUAAAAAAGUGAAAUUGGUACUUAUAAAGUGUUCAAAAACAAUUUAUUAUCAAAUGUAAAAGAGAAAACAUGUCUCAAAUAUUCAAGUUUAGUUUGAUAAUAUUUUUUUCUCUAUUACUUGUUGUUACCAAUGGCUGUAAAUUGGAAAUGCACACUUGACAACGAUUGUCCAAAAAAUAUGUGUCUUCUUCCUCAAAUUGCACAAUGUGUUAAAUUUAAUUGUGAGUGCAAGUUUUAUUUUUAUGUGCAAUAAGAUGAAUAAACAAUAUUAUAGAUGAAGGAGAUCUCAACUAGGUUGGAUUUAGAACCCAAAAAUUAGUAUCUUUUCGAGUUCCGGUAAAUGUAACAUGGGAUAGUGCCCUAUAUAAAGUGUUAUUGAAAUAAUAUUAUUAUACGAAUAUGAUCAGGUCUUUGGAAUUGUGA